rnacentral:rRNA from 1 species
ACGUAUGUCGCAAGCGUUAUCCGGAAUUAUUGGGCGUAAAGAGCAUGUAGGCGGGCUUUUAAGUCUGACGUGAAAAUGCGGGGCUCAACCCCGUAUGGCUCUGGAUACUGGGAGACUUGAGUGCAGGAGAGGAAAGGGGAAUUCCCAGUGUAGCGGUGAAAUGCGUAGAUAUUGGGAGGAACACCAGUGGCGAAGGCGCCUUUCUGGACUGUGUCUGACGCUGAGAUGCGAAAGCCAGGGUGGCGAACGGGAUUAGAUACCCCGGUAGUCCUGGCCGUAAACGAUGGGUACUAGGUGUAGGAGGUAUCGACCCCUCCUGUGCCGGAGUUAACGCAAUAAGUACCCCGCCUGGGGAGUACGUCCGCAAGGAUG